rnacentral:rRNA from 1 species
UACGAAGGGGGCUAGCGUUGCUCGGAAUGACUGGGCGUAAAGGGCGCGUAGGCGGUUCACACAGUCAGGCGUGAAAUUCCUGGGCUUAACCUGGGGGCUGCGUUUGAUACGUGUGGGCUUGAGGGUGGAAGAGGCUCGUGGAAUUCCCAGUGUAGAGGUGAAAUUCGUAGAGAUUGGGAAGAACACCGGUGGCGAAGGCGGCGAGUUGGUCCAUUUCGGACGAUGAGGCGCGAAAGAGUGGGGAGCAGACAGG